rnacentral:misc_RNA from 1 species
AAGAGUUAGGGUCUUUUAGGCCCGAUCUCCCAACCCUUUGUAUAACUACCAUGUUGCUUUGGCGGGCCCGUCUUUAACUGGACCGCCGAGGGAUUCUUUAAUCCCUUGGCCAGUGCCCGUCAACAGCCCACAAUUAAAUUCUUUUUAACCAUGUUAAAUCUGAAAAAUAGUUAAAUAAACUA